GACGAAGGGGGCUAGCGUUGUUCGGAUUCAUUGGGCGUAAAGGGUGCGUAGGCGGCGCGGUAAGUCGGGUGUGAAAUCUCGGGGCUUAACUCCGAAACUGCAUUCGAUACUGCGGUGCUUGAGGACUGGAGAGGAGACUGGAAUUCAUGGUGUAGCAGUGAAAUGCGUAGAGAUCAUGAGGAAGACCAGUGGCGAAGGCGGGUCUCUGGACAGUUCCUGACACUGAGGCACGAAGGCCAGGGGAGCAAACGGG
rnacentral:rRNA from 1 species